UAGUCGAUGGGAAACGGGUUAAUAUUCCCGUACUUCUUACAAUUGCGAUGGGGGGACGGAGAAGGCUAGGUGGGCCUGGCGACGGUUGUCCAGGUUCAAGUGCGUAGGCUUAAGAGUUAGGUAAAUCCGGCUCUUUUUAAGGCUGAGACACGACGUCGAGCAUCUACGGAUGUGAAGUCAUUGAUGCCAUGCUUCCAGGAAAAGCCUCUAAGCUUCAGAUUGUAAGGAAUCGUACCCCAAACCGACACAGGUGGUCGGGUAGAGAAUACCAAGGCGCUUGA
rnacentral:rRNA from 1 species